CUGCGGAUCCCAUCUUGGGGAACCCGGAGGAACUGAGAAAUGGAGGGGCCUUAGCCACGGAGAGCUGACAGGUAGAUUCAGAGCCACUGGGCUGGACCCAAGUCUCGGCCCCGCCCCUCUGGAGAGCAGCCACCAGCCCUCCUGCCAGAGGUAGUUCCCGUGCGCUCCCAGAAACCUGUGCGCGAGCAGGUGCCAACGGUGCCAACGAUGCCAACGGUGCCAAGGGCCCCAGAGGGGCUGGCAGCCGAAGGAGGAGCGGCCGCGUUCUGCUGAGCUACGGAGGGAUCAGGCUUGCGGGAGGAGCAGAGCGCAUGGCACUGCAUCUCCGAAGCCCCUGAACACCAUGGAGGUGGUUUACCGUUGGAUCUGAGCAGCCACUCACUGGGCAGCACCUUAGCUGCUGUAUUCACCAUGCUGAGGGAGGCUGUGGACAUCCUGCCCAGAGAAGCAGGAUGUCCAGGACCAUGCCUACCUUCACCAAGGUGAGUGCUCUGUGGGAGGAGGGUCAGACUGAAGAACCCAGGAAUGGGAGGUCGAGUGCCCUUCUUUCCUGUUUCUCCCCCCAGUGCUCCCAGUGCUUCUGCUGGUCUUGAGUGGUAGUUGAGGAGGAACCACAGUGCACGCACAGAGUUGAGAGUCCACAGAAGCAGCCCUGGGUAUCCGCGGGAUGUGGGGAUGCUGGACAAAGGCAAUAGGGGGAAAAGAAGGACCACUGCCUACAGGAUGGAAUGUCAAACUUCUGUUUGUUUUCUCCCUAAGGAUGUGGUGGGAACUUGAAACCUGAGACUUCCAGAAGAUGCUGGCCACCAACUGGUGCCCCACAAAGAAACCCCACAAGUCCUGCCAGCACUGGACUCUUGCUCUUUCUCCUGUAGCUUUGCCUUGGCUCAAGACCCAUCCGCACCAGUUCUCUGGUCCCUGGGAGAUCCUUUGGAGGCCUGGCUGUCCCUGUGCUCUGCAAGAGCAGACAAGAUGUGGGUCUUGUUGGGCCCCAAACAGGCCUGAACCUCUGCAUGAAGGAGGAGACUGGAGUCUCUCCAUCCCAUUUGGGAAUUCUGUUAACAAAUCACUGGAGGCAGCCUGUUUCUCUUUGUGACCAGGAGGAGUUUCAGCAGGAAAUUCAGCCUAGUCCUGGGGGCCCCCAGCCUCUGACUUAAGAAUGUAGUUUCAAAGGGGACGAUACUUCCCAAGCAUCAGUGUGUCAGACACAAGGCCAGGACAGAGUAAUGAGCAUGGUGAGAGUUGAGGAAAAGCUGAGAUGCCCUCCAACAGGCAGGCCCCGAGGAAGGCUGCCUUAAGGAAGUAGCCCAUCAGCCCUGUAGGACAUGGAGGUGGUCAAGGGUGGCAGAGGACUGGGUUUGUCUUUCAGAUUUCUGAUUUCCACAGCAAAUUCCUAUAGUAACUUGCUCCCUGAGAUAAAGCCCCUGCCCUCCGACCGUGGAAGGGAAAUGGGCAUGUGGGAAGCAGCUUCUUCCCUGAGGGCACUGGGCUAUGUCAGAAGGGUUCAGCAGUGCCGUCUUCUGUGGCGCCUUCUGUGGCGCCACUGACCUCUCCUUUCCCACUGGGUACAGAGCUUGUGCCAUCUGGACCUUGAUCCUGCGAGGCUUCCUGGCAGCAGCUUCCUCGAAACUGGGGGUCUAGGCUGACACUAUCCUAUCCAUUCAUGCUCCCUACUGUCCUGUGGUGGGACAGGACCAGAGCAAAAAGCCUCAAGAGGUUUAUCCUGGGUAAGAAUCAGCCAGAGAUGUCUGUUGCUGUGUAACAAACUACCCCACCAUUUAGCAGCUUAAACAUAUUACAGGUUCGGUGGUUUAGGAAUCCGAGUGGUUAGUGGUAUCUGCCUGGGGGUGUCUCACAGGCUACAGUCUGAGUGCGCUCUGGCUGUGGUUUCUCAUGUGAAGACCCAACCAAGAGGAGAUGCUGUCACUCUCAAAGUACAGUGGACAAGACUUCAGUUCCUUUCCCACAAAGGGUCUUAUUUUCUGCUUUUUGGCUGGAGGCCUCACUGAGUUCUUUGCAGGGGGCCUAGCCACAGAGUGCCUCCUGCCUGGUUAAGCAGAGAGCAAAUGAAGAAGUGGACUCUGUCGUCCAGCUGACUUCAUAAGGGAAAUUCUGGAAUGUUUUGAUUUUAAGGCCAUACUAAUGGGGUGGAGAGAUGUCUCAGCGGUUAAGAGCACUGACUGCUCUUCCAGAGGUCCUGAGUUCAAUUCCCAGCAACCACAUGGUGGCUCACAACCAUCUAUAAUGGGGAUCUGACGCCCUCUUCUGGUGUGUCUGAAGACAGCUACAGUGUACUCACAUAAAAUAAAAAUCUAAAAAAAAAAAAAAAAAAAAAAAAAAAACCUUAAAAGGCCAUACUAAAAGGGAGCAGGUCUACACUGGAGGACAUACACCAGGGAGGGAAAUGUUGAGGACCACCUCAUUAUGGGUCAUUUCUACAGCCUGCCAUGACACCAUCCAAACCCAGUGUCCUCACCAGGGCACACUACUGUGUUCAGUCUUGUUACCCUAGUGUGUGUCACUUUAAAACACUGAACUGUAACAUCUGAAGAUAGACAGGGAGCCGGAGGUAGUACAUGCUUGUAGAGCUGCCUCUGGGCUCUGAUGACCCCUUUGCAAGGGAGCUGAUCCCCUUGAAUUUCCCCAGGCGGCAGAAGGCAUCUAAAGCUGGGGUGUUAGGCUGUCUCUCAAAGAACAAGCUUGGGCCUUGCUCUGAAGUCAAUACUUCAGAGACCCCUUAGACUGGGGAAAAUGAUGGCUAAGCAGAGAAGUCUGUCCCUGUGUCCUUGCCUGUUAUCCAUAGGGGUCACAGAUAAGGCUUGAAGAGCAUCAGAGCUGAUAUCUGGGGAAAGCACCUCUUCCUCCUAGACAAGAUCAGGUGCACUCACCCUCAGAGUUCCCUAAGGCUUUGAUGAAAUUCGAACUCUCCCUGCACCUGCCCUACAGACAUCUGCAACAGGGUGUUCCAUCAUCCCAUGGCAAUCUCUAGUAACUUUGGAGGUUUUAGAGUUUCCCUGCUCAGGGUCCAUGAUGAGUUGGCACCUUUUUGUUUAUAGAAGUAAAGUAUCAAGGGCUGUUUGUGCUGGGGAUAAAAUGUACUGGGGAAAUCUAGAUUGUUACUCGUGAGAAACAGUAUCCACUCCUGCCUGAAGCUCAUCUCUUUACUGGUGAACCUCAAUCCCUGAUUUGUUCUGUUUGAUAAAACAGAAGGAAAACUGGAAUAGCCUGAAGUGAAAUAAGAGGAAUUUAGUUACAUCGUACCUUCCCUUGCUCAGUGCCAAAUUCCUUUCUGCCUCUGUCCUGCUCCUUCAGAUAUCUGAACCAGAAUCACCUUGGCCAUCCACAGACUCAGUAGGCUGGAAGGAACUCACUAGGUUCCUUCACCAGCUCAAUAGGCCACCAGUUGAAGCCAGGCAUGGAACUGUCUUGUCCCUCAAGCAUACAGCAAAGCUCAUCCACAUUGUAGGUGUGCACCUGCAUGUGCCAUUGUGCAUUUGCAAGACCUAGCCACUCCACAUCUGGUCAGCCCCAGCACUAAAACAGCAACCACUAGCUAGAAAGGUUAAAUAGCAUAACUCGGGUAGAAAAUCAGUUUCUCAGACUACACGAUUACCAUGUGACCCACUGUGGCAAUCCUAAGCAUAUAUGAAAGUUAUAGCACAGCUGUGUCCACAGAACUGACAGUAUCCCAAAGGUGGGAGCAAUGUAUUCAACAGGUGAACACAGAUGUCAGCAAACAUGACCAGUCCAUGCGAUUGGACCUUAUCAAUGGAAGAGAAUGAAGCAGAUAUAUGUGCACAUGAUUCGAAACACUAAAAUAAAUGCAGAACAGUGUAGGAUUCCACUUACAUGAAGUGCCAGGAAGGUAAAUUCCCAAAGCAGAGGAACAGGACAAACUGUCUCAAAAAGUCAGUCACCCGGAACAGUUGUGUGGGGAGUGAAUAUGACAUUGUAUGCGUAUCUGAAAGUCUAAAAAUAGAUUAAAAUGGGAACUAUAGGGACAGCUUUGGUACUGGAUGGUAUGUCACCGCUCUAGAGGCAGUAGGACCGGGGAGAAUGGAGCAGAUAAAUGAGGCGGAAUACAGUCUCAUGUGAUAGCCAACUUUAUUCUGAGCAUCAGACAAUUUAUUCUGAGGGUUAAGAAUCACACGAGUAAAGUGUGCACUCACAAGGACAAGCUGCACUUGGCAAAAAUGUGUUUUUCCAUAGAGACGUAAACAUUUGACUAACAGCAAUGAGUGAUCUGAAGUGAACUCGCAUCUGGGAGGAGAGCGCAACCACAUUCCAAGAACAGUUGUGUGUUUUGAAGAAACCGAUCAAGACCUUUCUCACCAGCACUCAGAAUCCUUACAGGACUCCAUUCUUGGACCAUGUUCCUACAGUGAUGGUUUGGGACAUGAGCGUGCUUAGCGCCAUGAUUACACCUAAUCAGGGCUGAACUUGUAACUUUGAUGUGCACUUGAACAUAGUUCACCAGUUGAGAUGGUGACACGUGUCUGUAAUCAACUUGGAAGAAUGAGGCAGGGGGAUUGUUCCAGGUUUCAGGCCACCCUGGCCUACAUGGUAAACUUUGACUUAGAUUACUCAGGACUCCAUCUCAACAAAACACAAGCCAACUAAGACUAUUGACAAUAUAGCUCAAUAUCUGCAUAAAGAUAGCUUUUGAUGCAACAAUCCAAUCUCUGGGCAUUUCCCAACAGAAAUGAAACCCUGUGUCCACCAGAUGGAUAUAGAAUGCUCAGAGCGGCACUGUGGGUAACAGCUCCCAGACAGGUCAGAACUUAAUGUUCACUGAGAGCAGAGAGGGAGUGGUGUGCCUACGUAAAUGGGUGGAUUAUAGUUUCAACAAUGUGACUGAAUGUUACAUAGAUGAUGCUGAAGGAAAGUCAGUUGAAACAACAUGCUGUAGGUUUUCUGUCCUGUGUUUUUCCACACACGAAGUUCAAGUCCAGGCAGAUUCCAGGGCCACGCGCUAACAAUGACCUCAGGAGAUCAUGCCCGAAAUGUGUGUGUGCAGAGCACACAGGAUCUCCUUUUGGACCUUUGUUUUAGGGCUGUGUUUGGCUUGUGGAAAUCAUUUAGCCUUAUGAUUCAUGCACUUUUCUGUAAUUAGCAUUUGACUUCAAAGUUUAAUCGCACACCUGUUAAACUCCAGAAUACUGAGACCAAAUGCUAGAAUGCUGGCACAGAUACAGAGAGCAGGCACUCCCAUCAUGGGAGGCAAGGUAGAAUGGAACACACACUUUCUUCCAAAACUAAAUAUGCUUUCACUAUAUAACCAAAGAAACACACUCUUCUUGUCUAGCCAAAGAAGCAGAGAACUUAAGUCCACACAGAUGUCUGCACAUGGGCACUGUGAUGCUUGACAUUGGCUGUCAACUGGACUGGAUUAACAUGUCUACAAAAUUAGUAAAAUACACUGGGCAGGGGCAAGAGAGUGUGUGCUUUCUGAAAAAAAAAAUUAGAUCACAAGGCUCUGACCUAAUGAAUGGUUUAACUCAUUGGCAGGGUUAACAUUUUAAUAGAUUGUUGGCAAGUGGUGGAGCAGUGGGAAGUGGAUACUGUAGAAAACAGGUGACUGGGAACUUGUCUUGUUCUGGUCCCUUCCUGUUGCCAUUCGAAUACGCUUCCUGUACACCAUGAAGUGAAGAACCUCCUCUACCACAUACUCCCAGUGCCGUGCUACCUGCCCAAGUGUCUUAAGCCAAGCAACAGAGUAAGGGAAAGCUUUGUAGUAGAGAAGAUGAAAUCUGUCAGGGAGUCGAGGUACUGUGAUCACCCAUAACCCAUCUGAGGGACUUGGUGGAACAGAGCUCUCAAGGUGGUAGAAAAAUUAACAAGUCCUGUCCAAAGGGGUAGCAAUCCAAGCCUGAUGUAGAUGAGAUUAUGAAGGAAAAGAGAAGAGAACUUAGGGUCAAGUCAGAAUUCUAAUGGCCAGGGGUGGUGACACAGACCAUAUAUAGUCCUAGCACUGGGGAGGUAGAGGCAUUGUGAGUUCAAGUCCAGCCCUGCCUAGCUAGAAAAGUUCUUGUCUCCACAAAAGAUAAUUUCAUCAAACAGCCAGACAGAAGGUGAGCCUGUAAACCAGAUAGAGAUGGAGUAAUGAUUAGGAGAAAACCUGGAAAGAUGGUCCAUACAUAUAAGGGAAAGACAGGCCAUGCGGUAAACAUUACCAGAAUUUAUGUGGAAUGAUGGCUGCCAAGUCUAUUUGCAGGAAUGGGAAAUCAACAAGUUUAGUGUGGUGAUUUGAAUAUGCUUGGCUCAGGGAGUGGCACUAUUAGGG
ensembl:lncRNA